CCUACGGGAGGCAGCAGUGGGGAAUUGUUCGCAAUGGGCGCAAGCCUGACGACGCAACGCCGCGUGGAGGAUGAAGGUCUUCGGAUUGUAAACUCCUGUUGAUCGGGACGAACGGGCUCCGCUUUAACACAGCGGAGCAGUGACGGUACCGAUUGAGGAAGCCACGGCUGACUCUGUGCCAGCAGCCGCGGUAAUACAGAGGUGGCAAGCGUUGUUCGGAAUUACUGGGCGUAAAGGGCGCGUAGGCGGCCUUGUCAGUCAGACGUGAAAUCCCCAGGCUUAACCUGGGAACUGCGUCUGAUACUACAAGGCUGGAGUUCGGGAGAGGAAUGUGGAAUUCCAGGUGUAGCGGUGAAAUGCGUAGAUAUCUGGAGGAACACCGGUGGCGAAGGCGGCAUUCUGGACCGAAACUGACGCUGAGGCGCGAAAGCCAGGGGAGCAAACGGGAUUAGAUACCCUAGUAGUC
rnacentral:rRNA from 1 species